UACGUAGGGUGCGAGCGUUGUCCGGAAUUAUUGGGCGUAAAGAGCUCGUAGGCGGUCUGUCGCGUCGAAUGUGAAAACCCGGGGCUCAACUCCGGGCUUGCAUUCGAUACGGGCAGGCUAGAGUUCGGUAGGGGAGUCUGGAAUUCCUGGUGUAGCGGUGAAAUGCGCAGAUAUCAGGAGGAACACCGGUGGCGAAGGCGGGACUCUGGGCCGAUACUGACGCUGAGGAGCGAAAGCGUGGGGGAGCGAACAGG
rnacentral:rRNA from 1 species